rnacentral:misc_RNA from 1 species
UCAGGUUUUUUGCACACUAUCCGUCGCCUCCCUUUUCUUUAUUCACCUCUUCUUCCCUCCACGACCCUUUCGCUUGCAUAGACUACACGUACGCACACGCACGCGCCACCCACUCCACCCCCCUCACGCCCCCUUCACCUUUUACGCAUGCCUCUCCUUCCUUUUGGAUAUGCGACCGUCAACACGAUUGCUUGCUUGCACAUGCAAAAAAAAAAGGUGUGCGCGGUCAAAUCGUGUCGCUGACCUUCUCGCUCUUCUCACCACCCCAUCCCCCCACCCCCGUCUUGAUGGUCACUGCACAUCCACGCCGAUGCCAAGCAAGCACUCUCAUGAGAAGGGAAGAGGGCAUGUCCAUGAAGCGAGAGAAAAGGAAGUAAAGACAAUGAGAAGAGAAACAGGCCAUGGGAGGAUGUUGAAACACGCACACACCAACAUGUAACAAAGGAUGCCACGAAUGGUUUUCUGUUUCUACACAUGCGACCACUCACACCGACGCUCGAUGACAAGAAGCCCCCGCCCUUUUCUCUCGCUCCAUUUUUUGCUGUUGUUGUUUGCCUUUCUUGCUGGCCUACGCUGCCUGCCCUCCCCCUCCUGGUGCGUUACCGUUGCCCCCCCCUUUUUUUGUGUGUUCGGGUAUGUGUUUGUGUAUUCUUGAGCUGAGCCGCAUGUCCCGUCCCCGCGGUUACGACCAGGACGGUAGGCACAGGCACACACCGACCGCAAGAAAUUUAUUCAAAUGAUUGACUUGAAAGGACCCUCUUCAUGCGCAUGAUUGCGCGUAUUCUCUGUCUGUCUCUCUCUGCAUCUCCACGCUCCUCUGCGUUUCGUUUCUGUUUUUUUUUUUUGUGUUGAUCUCCGUCUUUCUUCACCUCCAGCUACUGCUAUUGCUGACGUAGACGGAUAUGAGUGGUGAUGAUUGCUGCCACACACAUGUACCACCUCCACGACUGCCACCACACCACAUCAGCCCCUUUCCCUUUCCCUUGCCCUUCUACACAGGUUACGUGUUGUUCAUCGCGCGUCUCUCUCUGCCACAUACGCCACCUUUGCUUACUGUUUAUUUUCCGUUUCGUUUUCCUCGAGUUACGUUUCCUUUCCUUUCCUUUUUUUUCUUGUCGUCACUACAUCUCUCUCUCCCUCCUCUUUUUUCGUUUUCCUACUCCAUUCACGUUUUCCCUUUUUUUUUUCAGUCUUUAGUCUCUCUUCCUCUUUCUUUCGUUUUUCCUCGUUGUUUGCUUGACGCCUUUUCCCACCCCACCUCACCUCUCUGUCUCUCUCUCUCUCUGUAUGCGAUGCUCACUCCCAGGUUUGCUUUCUUCUUGCCUUCGUCUUGCGGUUCGUGUGCAGGUUUCGUUCGUUCGUCGUCGUCGUUUUUUUUUCAUUUAUUUAUUGUAGCUUUAGUUUCCUUUGCUGUAUUUUUGGUUUCCUUCGAUUGUUGCCCUCUUUUUUUUUUGAUUGUCGAGGAGAGACAAGACGAUUGACACGAGCAAGAGAAAAAGAAAAAAAAACAUAACAAACGGAGAGUGAAGAUGCAGAGGAUAGAAAAAUACACACACACACACACAUGCAUGCACCUGCAUAUACAUUGACGGCGACAACGAGAAGAACGCAACGUCCCAUGAACGCAGAACGAAGCAAAUAACAAAAAAGAAGGAAAACGGGUGACGGCGACAGGCACAAAAACUGGGGAGAUGGUCCACGAAAAUGGGAAGCAAUGAAAAACGAAAUGACGGAAGUCAAAGGCGGCGUUCAAGGCGCGCGCACGCACGCACGCACACACACACACACACACACACACAAGCACAUACUCACUCGCACGUGCACUCAGGCACAUACAUAUUUCAUGCGAAAAAGACAGGUGAAAGAGACGAUGACGGAAGGAAUAAAGCCGUUGCGGUGGUGCCGUCCGUCAGGCAUUGCCUGCGUCGUUCGUUUCUUGAGUUUCCUUCGUCUAUGUUUUUGCUUCAUCUGUCAGACGAACGAAUGUUUAUGUGCACGUGUGUCGACUUCCAUCUGACUGCUUUUUCGUUUCUUUAUGCCGCUCCUCACAUCUCUCUCCCUGUGUACACGUGUGUUUUGUAUGCUUGUAUCUCUUUUUCUUUCCGUUCUUGCCGCGCAUAUGUGAAAGCCCUCUCUUGUUUUCGGCGUGGGGCGGAGGGGGCAGGCGAGUGAGGAGGGUACACAUACGGAUACAUUUUACAUAUCUGACAAGCGCACACAGAUACAUGCUCAUGCACGCCAGACUAGGUGUUGGCUUGAUCUGUGUAUCUGUGUAUUGUUUCUUCGGUAUCUUUGUUUCUGUUUCUGCCGCCCCCAUUUGCAGAUCGUGUGCGUCUCCCCCUCUGUCGUUGCCUGUCACCACCCCUACCCCCACCUCCGCUGUCCCCUGCCCUUUCAUCGUUUCUCUGCUCUCCUUCUUUUUGCGUGUGUGUUGUGGUUGUGUUUGCUGCAUCAUCUCAUUGCUCGCUGCAUCUCUUUCCCGGCACUUUUCGCUUCACUCCGAUGACGCCCUCCCUCCCUCCCUCCCUCCCUCCCCCCUCCUUCGUGUGGCGCUCCAGGCCGCUCGCAUUCGAUGCCCGGCCCCGUGUUGCACUUUGUGAGGGCUUUUUUGUUCCCCACGAAAAGAAAGGCCGCAACACCACGAAGGAGAAAGGAGAGAGAAGCACUCCGACAUGACGACUGUAUUUUCUUUUUUUUUCUCGCUUUCAAUCAUGCUCCCUUGUUGGUGUCUUCGUGUUUCUGGGUAGCUUCUCUAACUACCACCAUCACCAUCGCCACCACGCACACACACACACACACACACACACACACACACAUUCCCACGCGCACGCGGACGCCGGUGCCCAGCUGCUUGGAGGACGAAAAGAAAAAGGAGAGAGCAGACCUACACCUGUCUGCCGCUCUCUUCCCCACCUUCCCCCCACAAAAACAUACGCUGCUGUGCUUGGGACUCGAUUGCUGCUUUUCUGUCAUGUCUCUCUCUCUUUUCUUCUCCAUCUCUCUGCGACUCUGUUUUCUUUUUUUGUUUGCUUGUUUUCGUUUUGAGUGUCUUGCCACUCACCGCCCCACCCCCCUUCUCCAGCCUUUCCUCCUGUAGCUUCUGGUGUCUGCCGCGCAGUUUUUCUUUCGCGCCUCUUUUUUUUUGUUCUUGGCUGUGCGUGUGUGUAUGCGCGGCCUGAUGAGUGCGUCUCCCUCUCUCUGUGCUGGCGCACGCAUAGAGAGGCGCAUAUACACACGCACACACACAUGCACAGACAAGGGAAUCAGCGGGAGAAGAACGGAGCUGGUGUGAUGCUCAAGAGAAGUGUGACUAUGCGCCAGUACCACGCGGCUUAAGAGAGGGAGGGAGUUGAGCGAAAAACAAAAGGGGAGUAAAGUGGCUCCGUUUCAGGUGUCACAGGAAGGAAGCACGAGAGAUGUCAAGAAACGGACGCGGACAACUUGGAGCGAGAAAGAGUGAGGAGGGAGCAGUACAGGUAUAGACGUCCGUGCUUGCACAUAAAGGUGCUUUGGGGCGUAGCAGAGGGUUGGGUGUAUAUGUAGAUAUGCGAGUGUUAUGCUCCUGUGAGGCUGCGUGUAUACCCUUUCUCUCUCUUCCCGAUCAUCUUUCCUCUUUUGUUUCUCUUCCUCUUCCUCGUUUCAAGGACGUGAGGUCAGCAAUGGUCACAUUACAGACAAGCGCAGACACACGCACACAAACACACACACGCACGCCGCAUGCCUUCCCUCAUACGGCAUCAUCAUUGACCACUCUUCUUCCUUUUCUUUGUGCGUGUGUGUGUGAGAUGUGCGUUCGUUCUCCUUUCCUCUCCAUGACUUUAAGCGGCUCAUUGUGUGUCUUUCUUGGGUGUGUGUGUGUGUUGUUGUUUUGUUACUUUUUUUCUCUUGUUGCUGUCCCUCUUCUUCCCCUCCUCCUCCUUUUUUGUUUUGUUUAGCCUUUGUUUUCAAUUUUUUUUGCCUGUUUCUUUGUGCUCCGUCUUCGUUUUUUUUUUGUGUGUUUGCGCUGUGUUUGGUGUAUUGUUGGUGGUUUGCACGUGCGCGUUUUUUUCUGCCUUUUUCUUUUCGGUUCUUUUUUUUUACUGCCUCCCCCCUCCUGAGGGCUGAUGAACUCGUUUCGAUCUCUCUCUCUCUGUCUGCCUGUGUUGGUCUCCCCCCUUUUCCACUCCUCUCUCUGUGUCCCUCCUACGUCUGAUUUUUUUUUGUUGGUUCUCCUUCCUUCUCAUCUUUUUCCUUUGGGGCGUAGACAACUAAAUGUGUGCACGGGCAUGCUUGACCUUCUAUCUCUUUGUGCUUGCUUACGUGCUCGAUCGCCGUCCCUGCUUCCAUCCUCCAUCACGGAGCGUUGCGCCACGCCCCCUCUCCCUCUGCGUCUCCUCUGAUCGCGGUGCUGCUCUUCUUCCCACUCUCCUUCCCUUCUUUUUUUUUUCUGCCGCUUCCUCUAUCUCGCGUGCUAUGCUCUGCCUUGCGUGUUUCUCCCCUCCCUUCCGCCCGCCCGCCAUCCAAUGUACACAGCCACCAAAGGCAAGCACCAGAGAACAAGAGGAGGCUGAAAAGGAGAAAAACAAACAAAUGCAAGUACGAGGCCAGACCCCAAAAAAGGCCGGAAAAAAAGAAAACGGAGAAGAGAAGCGGGAGGGAGGGGUGGGGGAUCGAUGGGGAUGGCAGUGGCGGAGGGGCGCAAGGCGAGACAACAUUAUAGGAAAAGAAAACAAGGAAAAAAAAACAACAAGCGAUCGUGGCGAAUGUGAUGAACCCCUCCUCCCCGUCCCCUCCCCCUGAAAGAAAAAAGAAACGCACAAUGGUCGACGAAGCCAGAACAAAAAAAAUCAGAAAGUCGGGCAUGCGCCCUUCCCCCCCCCAAAAAAAAAAAACACACAGAGAGAGAGACCCGGCCACCAGAUCCAACACGCGAGAGGCUCACGCGUCGCAUCGACAAAGCACUGCAAAGUAUGAAGGGGAGGAGACUCGCCCUCCCUGGUGGCGGGUACACACACACACACACAUAUGCAUAUACGUAUACGUGCAUGUAUAUGAGAUGAUGAUGAUGAAAGCGAAAGAGAAGAACAACAAACAAACAAACAGCAGCCCCCCCUUUUUUUCUCUCUCUCCCUCUCCCUCCUCUUUCCCUCCUCCUCCUCACCAAAG